UGCUUCCUUCUUAGCGCGCUUGAGUAGUGCACAAUUGUUGGGGCGCUUAAGGGAAGUGUGCUAUUCUUGGAUUAGAAAGUGAUUAAAAUACCUUUAAAUGCCAAAUUCUUCAUAACCUUAAGAAAAUGGAGAGAAAUGGUUCUAUUUAAAAUUUUCCUCUUUUUAUAUUUUUUUUCUCUUCAAUUAUGAGUUGACAUUAAACAUCCUCUCUCAGAUUAGAAAGUGAUUAAAACACCUUUAAA
rnacentral:lncRNA from 1 species